AAAACAUUCAGAGAAUAUCCAGUCUAGCCAGCCGUCAGUCCGCAACUGACCCCCUACCAGAUUGAUUCAGGGCCAGAGGAUGCUGUGACAUGUCUCCUCCGCUUCGUCUACCAACAUCUGAUGAGUGUGUGCCUUCACUUUUCCAUACCUUGCCCAGUAAGUAGUGGAGCGUGUACCAGUCCAGAGGGCUCCAGGAUGAUGACAGGCAGGUGAGGAUUCAGCUGCCCAGCCUGAUCCUCUCUGCUCAGGGGGAGGAAGACCGACGAGCCUCCGGCUGUGACCACAGGC